GCAGUAGCCGCGGGAACACGUAGGUGGCAAGCGUUGUCCGGAAUUAUUGGGCGUAAAGGGCUCGCAGGCGGUUUCCUAAGUCUGAUGUGAAAGCCCCCGGCUCAACCGGGGAGGGUCAUUGGAAACUGGGAAACUUGAGUGCAGAAGAGGAGAGUGGAAUUCCACGUGUAGCGGUGAAAUGCGUAGAGAUGUGGAGGAACACCAGUGGCGAAGGCGACUCUCUGGUCUGUAACUGACGCUGAGGAGCGAAAGCGUGGGGAGCGAACAGGAUUAGAUACCCCAGUAGUCCCUGUCUCUUAUAC
rnacentral:rRNA from 1 species